AUGAUUAAUAUGUUAAUUUAUGUUUUUAAUUUUAAAGAUAUACGAAAAGUUUACAUUUGAUUUGUAAUUCUUUUUUGUAAAUAAGUGAUUGUAAUUUGUAAUGAAGAAAAUAUAAUUUUUUUUAAGUUUUACCACUUGAAAACUGAAGCACUUUUUCAAUAAUUGUAUUGAAGAAACCUCACAAUGACUAACUUUACCUAUCUUAUUUGUCAGUAUUUUAAGUUUAUUAUGAAAAUCACGGACUGAGAUAUCUUAACACCUCCAGGAAAUACUAUCCUAAGAGAAAAUAGAAAGGAUAUCUAGUAAAGCUCACAAAAGAAGCAAAUAUGUAUAUAUAAGGUGCCAAAAUGAUUUUGUUUAAGAAGGUAGAACAAUUAAAUGAACUAUUUAUGAGAAACAAAGACAUGAGUAUGUUGUUGAAUGAAAAAGAUAGAAGAACUUUGGACAGUUUGAUCAAUGAAAUAUCUGAAGCAGAUAUGAAUUCAAAUUUACUUAAGACUAUUUUAGGGUUACAGGAGAAUAAAUAUUCCAUUGAAAUAAUUUGGCAACUACAUAGAAAACAAAUAAUUGACUUUGCAGAAUUUAUCACAUGUUAUAAGUGGGAUCUUGAUCAUAUUGUUAAAACUCUGCUAUGUAUGUCUGAAUCUGAAGAAAAGCAAUGUCAAGAAAUGUUGACAGACUUAUUGGGAAGUCUAUUAAUUUUGUUGUCUGGAGAACCUAACCAUAUAUUUGAUCAACACAUACAAAUUAUUCAACAGUUUUUAGCUCAAUCAAGCUUAAUAAUCAUAAGAAACCAUAAUGGAUGGGUCUAUUUGAAAAAUCUUAAAUGUUCAUCUUUUUUAACAAAAUCAACCAUUCAAAAAAUAUUCAAAAUAAUGUUAAAAAACAUGCUUAUAGCUGAUGUUAAUUUUCAUUUGAAUAUUGCAUAUGAACAAUAUAGAUUGUAUAAAACUCCAGAUUCUGUAUACAAUAUGCUUAAAAUGUUUUUGGACGAAAUUGAUGAAGAUGUUAUAUAUACAUUGAUUCAGAAUGUCCUAACGCACCAUGCAGAAAAAGCCAAUUGGAAAUUGAUAUUGUCUUUAAUUUCUACUUUUGUAAAAACAAAAUCUCAUCUAUGUCAUAUGUUAAAAUUGAAAUUAGAAGAAUUUUUCAAUCAAACAUUGUCUAAAUCGACUACAGAAAAAAGUUUCUUAAUGCAAAAAGCGGCUUUAUUAAUUUUUCGCCAAUGUUGUUUGGAAAUCGGUCUUUGGUCAGAAUACAGCAGAUGGUAUAGUUCUUAUAAACCAAAUGUAGAUAAUGCUAAAAUAUUCUACUCUUUGCUCACUGAACUAUUGCCCAUUGAUUUACCUGCUGCUUUAGCAGCCCAUAUUAAUACUCAACCUAAACUAACAGAAUCUUGUGGAAAUAUACAGUCUGAUUAUGUUAAAAAAGCCCAGGCCCAACUAAUCAAAAUAAACCACGGAGAAGAUUACAUGGGCUUGUUUAAAAAUUACGAUGAUUGUGAGAACCGCCAUGAAGCUGAUAUUGUCAAAGUGCUUGAAUCCUUCAAAUCAACUGGUCAAGUAAUGAGAGUUGUCUUAGAAGCAUGUGUUUUUAGAAACAAAUAUUUUAUUGGUACAUUCCUUAAAACUUUGAUGAAUACCCAAUUGGUAGAUGAUCAGUUACGAAACAGAUUUAUUGAAAAAUUAAAUAGUAUGAAUAAAAUUCCUAAAAUGAUGUACACCAAGUGGAAACAAGAACAACAAAUUUGGCAGAAUUUUCAUGUGGGCACCCUUAAGUAUUUGCCAUGCCCGGGUGGGGGAUGGCGGCCUCUCUCUCCAGACACCGUAUCUGCCCGAAGAGAAGUGCCGCCCGAGACCGAGAUUAGAACCGACGACUGAGUCACCUCGGCCACUUUGUCAAUAACAUAAAAUGUUUGAAUUUAUAAUUUAUCUCUCGCACUCAUUUAAACUGCAACAUCAAUUGCUUUGUCAUCAUUUACAGAGACUAGCUUAAGCCAGGCGACGGGUGUACAUCAAUGCAGAUAUGCAGUGAAUAAAAAACUGCAAUAACCAAGCCAAUCUUUUUGCAAUGAUUUAGUUUGCGCCCGGCCUUAAUCUUAAUUUAUAAGUUUAUAACUCUUUAGUAGUUUAGUAAUUAGUUACUUGCUAUUUACUAAAGAAUAUGUGCUCAGAGGUUGA
rnacentral:misc_RNA from 1 species